AUGCAAUCUUAUGAUGAAAAACUUAAUUUGGAAGUUUCUAUACCUAGAAAACUUAAUAUUGAGUGGGAACCUACUAUAAAUAUUAAAAUUAAAGAUCAUGAGUGUUUUGCUUUAUGUGAUUUGGGUGCUAGUGUUUCCACGAUUCCGAAAACUUUAUGUGAUAUUCUAGGUUUCUAUGAUCUUGAUGAUUGCUCUUUAAAUUUGUACCUUGUGGAUUCCACCAUUAGAAAGCCAAUGGGAAGGAUCAAUGAUGUUCUCAUUGUCGCAAAUAGAAAUUCGGUGCCCGUAGAUUUUAUCGUUCUUGAUAUAGAUUGCAAUCUUUCUUGCCCUAUUAUUCUUGGUAGACCUUUCCUGAGAAUGAUUGGCGUGAUUACUGAUAUGAAGGAAGGGAAUAUUGGAUUCCAAUUUCCAUUAAGAAAGGCAUGGAGCACUUUCCAAGAAAUAAAGUCAAAUUACCUUAUGAAUCUAUCAUGCGGGAUACUUAUGAAUUGA
rnacentral:rRNA from 1 species